rnacentral:rRNA from 1 species
CCUACGGGUGGCAGCAGUAGGGAAUAUUGCUCAAUGGGGGAAACCCUGAAGCAGCCAAGUCGCGUGAGGGAAGACGGUCCGAUGGAUUGUAAACCUCUUUUGUCGGGGAGCAAAAGACGCCACGCGUGGCGUUCCGAGAGUACCCGAAGAAAAAGCAUCGGCUAACUCCGUGCCAGCAGCCGCGGUAAUACGGAGGAUGCGAGCGUUAUCCGGAUUUAUUGGGUUUAAAGGGCGCGCAGGCGGAACAUCAAGUCAGCGGUAAAAUUGAGAGGCUCAACCUCUUCGAGCCGUUUAAACUGGUUUUCUUGAGUGGGCGAGACGUAUGCGGAAUGCGUGGUGUAGCGGUGAACUGCAUAGAUAUCACGCAGAACUCCGAUUGCGAAGGCAGCAUACCGGCGCUCAACUGACGCUCAUGCACGAAAGUGUGGGUAUCGAACAGGAUUAGAUACCCCGGUAGUC